rnacentral:rRNA from 1 species
UACGUAGGGCGCAAGCGUUAUCCGGAAUUAUUGGGCGUAAAGAGCUCGUAGGCGGUUUGUCGCGUCUGCCGUGAAAGUCCGGGGCUCAACUCCGGAUCUGCGGUGGGUACGGGCAGACUAGAGUGAUGUAGGGGAGACUGGAAUUCCUGGUGUAGCGGUGAAAUGCGCAGAUAUCAGGAGGAACACCGAUGGCGAAGGCAGGUCUCUGGGCAUUAACUGACGCUGAGGAGCGAAAGCAUGGGGAGCGAACAGGAUUAGAUACCCG